UCAGCUGGAGUCUGGCUGCUGCUCCACUGUGGAAACAACUUCAGUCAUGAUCUGACUGCGGGCACCAUGGGUGGAGCAGUGGUUAGCAAUGUUACAUCACAGCAAGAAGGUUCUGGGUUCAAGCCUGGCCUGACUCGACCCACUGCCUUUCUGUAUGAAGUCUGCAUGUUCUCCCUGUGCCUCUGUGGGUUUUCUCCAGUGAACAGCAGUGCAUUCAGGUCAUACACCUCAAACACCCUUCAAGUGGCUCAUCCUGAGGUGCAUUAAACAAAUAGGAGGUGCAGUGGGCUUGUUCUGCUACUGCCUGUACAGCAUAUGUCUACUGGAAAAGAAGAAGCAGAAGAAGAAUGGAAAUCAAGAUCUAUUUGCUCUAAUUUGUUUUGAGAAUAUAUUCUUCUUUUAGCCUUUCUGUUUUCUGUUCUGUCCUUAUACCACUUUGUCUAAUGAUUUAUUUUUAUUUAGUUACAAAUCCAGUUCAGUCCCUCUGUGCCUGCCUGAGUGGUAUUAAAAGCUGGCUGUCACAGAAUUUCUUACACAUUAAUGAAGUCAAAAGAGAAUGUGUACUAUUUAAUGGUUCAGGCUGUGCACACACUGAUGACCUUGACCUUGAUGUAAUGACCCCGUAUUUUGCAUAUUGACUAAUGCAAUGCCCUCUAUUUCGAGGUCUCUCCGACUUUAUUGCCUAGGCUUAGUACAAAAUGCUGUUGUUUGUCUUCUUACUCAUAAACAUGAACAUAUA